rnacentral:rRNA from 1 species
AGAGUUGAUCCUGGCUAGAACGAACGCUGGCGGCGCGUCUUAAGCAUGCAAGUCGAACGGCAAGAGGUAGCAAUACCUCCUAGAGUGGCGGACUGGUGAGUAACACGUGGGUGACAUACCCUUCAGAUGGGGAUAGCUAUUAGAAAUAGUAGAUAAUACCGAAUACGAGCACAGGGGUUAGAGAUCUGUGAGGAAAGGAGCUAAGGCUCCGCUGAAGGAAUGGCCUGCGGCCCAUUAGCUAGUUGGUGAGGUAAGAGCCCACCAAGGCGAUGAUGGGUAUCCGGCCUUAGAGGGUGAACGGACACAUUGGGACUGAGAUACGGCCCAGACUCCUACGGGAGGCAGCAGCUAAGAAUAUUCCGCAAUGGACGAAAGUCUGACGGAGCGACGCCGCCGUGGAUGAAGAAGGCCGGAAGGUUGUAAAAUCCUUUUGAAACUGAAGAAUAAGCGUUGUAGGGAAUGACAGCGUGGUGACAGUAGGUUUUGAAUAAGCAACGGCUAAUUACGUGCCAGCCGCCGC